rnacentral:rRNA from 1 species
GACAGAGGAUGCAAGCGUUAUCCGGAAUGAUUGGGCGUAAAGCGUCUGUAGGUGGCUUUUUAAGUCCGCCGUCAAAUCCCAGGGCUCAACCCUGGACAGGCGGUGGAACUACCAAGCUGGAGUACGGUAGGGCAGAGGGAAUUCCCGGUGUAGCGGUGAAAUGCGUAGAUAUCGGGAGGAAUGCCAGUGGCGAAGGCGGCUUCCGUGGCCUGUCCCUGACGCUGAGACGCGAAAGCUGGGGAGCGAACGGGAGUUAG